rnacentral:rRNA from 1 species
AGGGGAGAAUAGUGUGGGGAAAAGCGCGAGAGGGAGGGGGAUAACUAGUGAAAACGGUAUCUAAUACCGCAUAACGUCUUCAGACCAAAGGGGGGGACCUUCGCGCCUCGUGCCAUCAUGUGUGCCCAGGUGGUUUUAUAUAGUAGGGGGGGUAGAGUCUCACCUAGGACAAGACCCCUAUGUGGUGUGAGAAGAUGACCACCCACUCUGAAAGAGACACGCGGCCCACUCCCCUACGGGAGGCAGCAGGGGAAAAUAUUGCACAGUGGGCGCACCCCUGAUGCACCCGUGCCGCGUGUAAGAAAAGCGCCUUCGGUUUGUAAAAUACUUUCAGCGAAGAAGAGGGGGUUGGGGUUAAUACCCUUCCCUUUUGACUUCACUCACAAAAAAAGCAGCGUCUAUCUCCGUGCCAGCACCCGCGGUAUACAGAGUGCGCACGCGUUACUCGGAACACUGGGCGUAAAGCGCACGCAGGCGGUGUGAUAUGUCAUAUGUGAUCUCCGGGUCACACCGGGAAUCUGCUUUAGACUCUCACGCGCGAGAGUCUCGGAGAGGGAUAGAUACAUGUGUAGUGUGAUGUGCAUAGAUAUCUAGAGAUAGUGUGCAAGGCGCCCGGGAGACAGUGACUCUCAUGUGCAAACGCGUGGCACACAGUUGAUAUCCCUGAUAGUCACCUGUACACUAUGUCGACUGAGAGUGUG